UUGAUCCUGGCUCAGAUUGAACGCUGGCGGUAUGCUUAACACAUGCAAGUCGAACGCUGAUAAGUGCUUGCACCGUUUGAUGAGUGGCGGACGGGUGAGUAAUGCAUAGGAAUCUGCCUAUUAGUGGGGGACAACGUGGGGAAACUCACGCUAAUACUGCAUCYGAUCUACGGUGAAACCGACGGGAGCUUCGUGCCUUGCGCCUAUAGAUGAGCCUAUGUGCAAUUAGCUAGUUGGUGGGGUAAAGGCCUACCAAGGCGACGAUCCGUAGCUGGUCUGAGAGGAUGAUCAGCCACACUGGGACUGAGACACGGCCCAGACUCCUACGGGAGGCAGCAGUGGGGAAUAUUGGACAAUGGGCGAAAGCCUGAUCCAGCAAUACCGCGUGUGUGAAGAAGGCCUGAGGGUUGUAAAGCACUUUCAAUGGGAAGGACACCUAUCGGUUAAUACCCGGUAGACUGACAUUACCCAUACAAGAAGCACCGGCUAACUCCGUGCCAGCAGCCGCGGUAAUACGGAGGGUGCAAGCGUUAAUCGGAAUUACUGGGCGUAAAGCGUGCGUAGGCGGUUGUUUAAGUCAGAUGUGAAACCCCGGGCUUAACCUGGGAACUGCAUUUGAUACUGGGCAACUAGAGUUGAGUAGAGGGGAGUGGAAUUGCAGGUGUAGCGGUGAAAUGCGUAGAGAUCUGAAGGAACACCAGUGGCGAAGGCGGCUCCCUGGACUCAAACUGACGCUGAGGUACGAAAGCGUGGGUAGCAAACAGGAUUAGAUACCCUGGUAGUCCACGCCGUAAACGAUGUCAACUAACUGUUGGGUUCUUUAAGAGCUUAGUACUGGAGCUAUUUAAUUCGAUNCAACGNGAAGAACCUUACCUACCCUUGACAUCCUCGGAACUUGUCAGAGAUGACUUGGUGCCUUCGGGAACCGAGAGACAGGUGCUGCAUGGCUGUCGUCAGCUCGUGUUGUGAAAUGUUGGGUUAAGUCCCGUAACGAGCGCGGCCCUUAUCCUUAGUUGCCAGCAAGUAAUGUCGCGAACUCUAGAGAGACUGCCGGUGAUAAACCGGAGGAAGGUGGGGAUGACGUCAGGUCAUCAUGCCCCUUAUGACCUGGGCUACACACNNNCUACAAUGGUACAAACAGCACGCCGUAAACUCGCGAGAGUAAGCAAAUACCACAAAGCCGGUCUCAGUCCGGAUCGCAGUCUGCAACUCGACUGCAUGAAGUCGGAAUCGCUAGUAAUCGCGGAUCAGAAUGCCGCGGUUAAUACGUUCCCGGGCCUUGUACACACCGCCCGUCACACCAUAGGCGUGGGUUGCAGAAGAAGUAGGUAGCUUAACCUUCGGGAUUGGUCUCACCACNNUGUGAUUCAUGACUGGGGG
rnacentral:rRNA from 1 species